rnacentral:rRNA from 1 species
UCUUUAUGGGGUGACUGCGUACCUUUUGUAUAAUGGGUCAGCGACUUAUAUUCUGUAGCAAGGUUAACCGAAUAGGGGAGCCGAAGGGAAACCGAGUCUUAACUGGGCGUUAAGUUGCAGGGUAUAGACCCGAAACCCGGUGAUCUAGCCAUGGGCAGGUUGAAGGUUGGGUAACACUAACUGGAGGACCGAACCGACUAAUGUUGAAAAAUUAGCGGAUGACUUGUGGCUGGGGGUGAAAGGCCAAUCAAACCGGGAGAUAGCUGGUUCUCCCCGAAAGCUAUUUAGGUAGCGCCUCGUGAACUCAUCUCCGGGGGUAGAGCACUGUUUCGGCAAGGGGGUCAUCCCGACUUACCAACCCGAUGCAAACUGCGAAUACCGGAGAAUGUUAUCACGGGAGACACACGGCGGGUGCUAACGUCCGUCGUGAAGAGGGAAACAACCCAGACCGCCAGCUAAGGUCCCAAAGUCAUGGUUAAGUGGGAAACGAUGUGGGAAGGCCCAGACAGCCAGGAUGUUGGCUUAGAAGCAGCCAUCAUUUAAAGAAAGCGUAAUAGCUCACUGGUCGAGUCGGCCUGCGCGGAAGAUGUAACGGGGCUAAACCAUGCACCGAAGCUGCGGCAGCGACGCUUAUGCGUUGUUGGGUAGGGGAGCGUUCUGUAAGCCUGUGAAGGUGUGCUGUGAGGCAUGCUGGAGGUAUCAGAAGUGCGAAUGCUGACAUAAGUAACGAUAAAGCGGGUGAAAAGCCCGCUCGCCGGAAGACCAAGGGUUCCUGUCCAACGUUAAUCGGGGCAGGGUGAGUCGACCCCUAAGGCGAGGCCGAAAGGCGUAGUCGAUGGGAAACAGGUUAAUAUUCCUGUACUUGGUGUUACUGCGAAGGGGGGACGGAGAAGGCUAUGUUGGCCGGGCGACGGUUGUCCCGGUUUAAGCGUGUAGGCUGGUUUUCCAGGCAAAUCCGGAAAAUCAAGGCUGAGGCGUGAUGACGAGGCACUACGGUGCUGAAGCAACAAAUGCCCUGCUUCCAGGAAAAGCCUCUAAGCAUCAGGUAACAUCAAAUCGUACCCCAAACCGACACAGGUGGUCAGGUAGAGAAUACCAAGGCGCUUGAGAGAACUCGGGUGAAGGAACUAGGCAAAAUGGUGCCGUAACUUCGGGAGAAGGCACGCUGAUAUGUAGGUGAAGUCCCUCGCGGAUGGAGCUGAAAUCAGUCGAAGAUACCAGCUGGCUGCAACUGUUUAUUAAAAACACAGCACUGUGCAAACACGAAAGUGGACGUAUACGGUGUGACGCCUGCCCGGUGCCGGAAGGUUAAUUGAUGGGGUCAGCGCAAGCGAAGCUCUUGAUCGAAGCCCCGGUAAACGGCGGCCGUAACUAUAACGGUCCUAAGGUAGCGAAAUUCCUUGUCGGGUAAGUUCCGACCUGCACGAAUGGCGUAAUGAUGGCCAGGCUGUCUCCACCCGAGACUCAGUGAAAUUGAACUCGCUGUGAAGAUGCAGUGUACCCGCGGCAAGACGGAAAGACCCCGUGAACCUUUACUAUAGCUUGACACUGAACAUUGAGCCUUGAUGUGUAGGAUAGGUGGGAGGCUUAGAAGUGUGGACGCCAGUCUGCAUGGAGCCGACCUUGAAAUACCACCCUUUAAUGUUUGAUGUUCUAACGUUGACCCGUAAUCCGGGUUGCGGACAGUGUCUGGUGGGUAGUUUGACUGGGGCGGUCUCCUC